rnacentral:lncRNA from 1 species
GGAGCAUCGAAGGAUUUUCUCGUUGAUUUGACUUAUAAAGAUUUUUGAUUUGAAAAUUAUCGAAUUGAAGUGAUAUGAGAAUUAAGAUUUGAUUCAUAUUGAUUAUAGUAAAUCUAUAUGAUGGUUUAAAUAUGAUAUUGGACUCAAGGGUUAAUCAAGAUUAUUGUACACCAGUAAAAGUAUGAAGGAGAAUCGAAAGUUAAUCUUUGACUUCAAUUGA